ensembl:lncRNA
UUUAACAUCUGAUGGUAACUUCCUACUUAGAAACCUGGAUCUGCUUUUAUGAAAUAAAUUCAUGCAAGAAAGAAUCUGCACACGUAGGAUGUAGGUUCAUGUCUACUAGUGCAUUUCAAAACAUGAAAAAACCCAUGUGCAAGAUAAGCCAUUGUUGAUUACCAUUUCUUAUCUGCAAUCUGUAUUAUUUUCUGGAUGCUUCCACGCAGCAAAUAACUUUACCUGCAAUUUGCCUAACACCUAAGUUAUUGCUAUAAGUGCAAAGUUUGUAUAUAACCCAGUGAUUUAGUCUUUUUAUUUUUCCAUAUACUGAACUUGUUUAAGUGCUUUGAAAAGUUUGUAGUGAUGAUUACUUGGAUAAGAUCAGUUUUACAUUAAUCACAUGUGAUGCCUACACGGCAGUUUGAAUUACUAAUUCUCUUAAUUGUAUUCAUUUAUGAAAUUGCCUCAUUUGAUAAUUUUACUUGGAGACCAUGUGGAAAAUUAAGUAGGAUAAUCCAUUCUACUUAAUACCUACCCUAAUGUAAAAUUAUUAGAAUAAAAUUAUAACCAAUAAUAACUCAGAAAAUAACUAAGAUUUUGUUUAUUGAAGUCAUGUGUUUGUUCUUAGGAAAAAAACUCAGUUGUUCAGGAUUGAUAUUUCACUCCAUUUGAUUGCUUGAUUGAUAGAUAAAAAUGGAUGAAUGGAUAGAUAUUGGCAACAGAAUUUUUGAGCUACCCAGCAACAUUGAACUUCUUUGCUCUGAUAGCCUAUUACUGCUCUCCCUGUUUACCUUUGGAGGAUGACUUAUAUGUGACUAUAUUCCGGAGGAAAAUUAGUGUCUCCAUCUCUUUGACCAAGUAUUGUAAUGUCACUUUUUGUUACUAAAAAAAAAAGAAGCCAACAAAUUACCUGAUGUCCUAAGAAAGCUGAUGGAGCUUUUGGUCUUCAGAUGUCAUCUGCAAGACCCUAGCCAAUCAAUUCUGUGCUACUCAAUUUAUCUGCCUUCAAAGGGUGAAGGACUUAGUUGAAGCUUUUGAGAUUGGAAUCUCUAGUUCCCGGGAAACUUGAGUAUUUUGACCCUGGGGUCUCUACUGCUAAGCCAGUCCUCUGGCAUCUGACAGUUCAUAUUUGUUGAAUUCCAUAACCUUGAUCCUGGUCCUGUUCCCCCGUGAAAUGUGUCAUCAUUUUUCUUCACUCCUUCUGAUACCAUGACUGCAAAAAGUAUUUCCUGACCUCUCCAGAACCCACUGUUCCUGCCACCUUUUCAUGAUUCUUGUCUUUCCCUCUUAUAUCCUUAUUUGCAUCCUCAUUUAGUUUAGCUUCUGUGGUCCACCCUUAGAAUCAUCCUUUGC